GAUGAACGCUGGCGGCGUGCCUAAUACAUGCAAGUCGAGCGAAUGGAUUAAGAGCUUGCUCUUAUGAAGUUAGCGGCGGACGGGUGAGUAACACGUGGGUAACCUGCCCAUAAGACUGGGAUAACUCCGGGAAACCGGGGCUAAUACCGGAUAACAUUUUGAACAGCAUGGUUCGAAAUUGAAAGUCGGCUUCGGCUGUAACUUAUGGAUGGAACCGCGUCGCAGUAGCUAGUUGGUGAGGUAACGGCUCACCAAGGCAACGAUGCGUAGCCAACCUGAGAGGGGUGAUCGGCCACACUGGGACUGAGACACGGCCCAGACUCCUACGGGAGGCAGCAGUAGGGAAUCUUCCGCAAUGGACGAAAGUCUGACGGAGCAACGCCGCGUGAGUGAUGAAGGCUUUCGGGUCGUAAAACUCUGUUGUUAGGGAAGAACAAGUGCUAGUUGAAUAAGCUGGCACCUUGACGGUACCUAACCAGAAAGCCACGGCUAACUACGUGCCAGCCGCCGCGGUAA
rnacentral:rRNA from 1 species